rnacentral:siRNA from 1 species
ACAUGCGUCAUGUGUGGAGU